UACGUAGGGGGCAAGCGUUGUCCGGAAUCAUUGGGCGUAAAGAGCGUGUAGGCGGCUAGGUAGGUCCGUUGUGAAAACUCGAGGCUCAACCUCGAGACGCCGAUGGAAACCAUCUAGCUAGAGUCCGGAAGAGGAGAGUGGAAUUCCUGGUGUAGCGGUGAAAUGCGCAGAUAUCAGGAAGAACACCCGUGGCUAAGGCGGCUCUCUAGUACGGUACUGACGCUGAGACGCGAAAGCGUGGGGAGCGAACAGG
rnacentral:rRNA from 1 species